AUGGGGCAGAAUGUUAUACUAAAGAGAUACCAAGAAAAUGUAGUAAGAGGAGGAGCCUAAAGAAUUAUCUUUCUAUGGUCUGUUGGCCAUUUCAGAACUUUGCAAAUGUAAUGGUCAAUUCAUUAGAAAGAAACAGUA